AAGUCGUAACAAGGUCUCCGUAGGUGAACCUGCGGAGGGAUCAUUACACAAAUAUGAAAGCAGACCCUCAUUGGGGCGUAACGUCACGCCGUGUCCGCAAUAGCGCCAUUGCUGUUGUGCUGACGCGGCGGGGGGUAACGCCCUUUUGGGCCAGUCUGACUCCAUAUUCACCCAUGUCUUUUGCGUACUACUUGUUUCCUUGGCGGGCUCGCCCGCCAAUUGGACCCAAUUAAACCUUUUUUGUAAUUGCAAUCAGCGUCAGCAAAACAAUGUAAUAAAUUACAACUUUCAACAACGGAUCUCUUGGUUCUG
rnacentral:misc_RNA from 1 species